UACGGGGGGGGCAAGCGUUGUUCGGAAUUACUGGGCGUAAAGGGCUCGUAGGCGGCCAACUAAGUCGGAUGUGAAAUCCCCAGGCUUAACCCGGGAAUUGCAUCCGAUACUGGAUGGCUUGAAUCCGGGAGAGGGAUGCGGAAUUCCAGGUGUAGCGGUGAAAUGCGUAGAUAUCUGGAGGAACACCGGUGGCGAAGGCGGCAUCCUGGACCGGCAUUGACGCUGAGGAGCGAAAGCCAGGGGAGCAAACGGG
rnacentral:rRNA from 1 species